CCUACGGGAGGCAGCAGUGAGGAAUAUUGGUCAAUGGGCGCGAGCCUGAACCAGCCAAGUAGCGUGAAGGAUGACUGCCCUACGGGUUGUAAACUUCUUUUAUAAAGGAAUAAAGUGAGGCACGUGUGCCCUUUUGUAUGUACCUUAUGAAUAAGGAUCGGCGAACUCCGUGCCAGCAGCCGCGGUAAUACGGAGGAUCCGAGCGUUAUCCGGAUUUAUUGGGUUUAAAGGGAGCGUAGGCGGGUUUGUAAGUCAGUUGUGAAAGGCCGGGGCUCAACCGUAGAACUGCCAUUGAUACUGUGUAUCUAGAGUACAGGAGAGGAUAGCGGAAUGCGCGGUGUAGAGGUGAAAUUCGUAGAUAUUAGGUAGAACACCGGUGGCGAAGGCAGCUAUCUGGCCAUUAACUGACGCUGAGGCUCGAAAGCGUGGGUAUCAAACAGGAUUAGAUACCCCUGUAGUC
rnacentral:rRNA from 1 species